GGGGAAAGAUUUAUCGCCAUUGGAUGAACCCGCGUCGGAUUAGCUAGUUGGUGUGGUAAAGGCGCACCAAGGCGACGAUCCGUAGCUGGUCUGAGAGGAUGAUCAGCCACACUGGGACUGAAACACGGCCCAGACUCCUACGGGAGGCAGCAGUGGGGAAUAUUGGACAAUGGGCGCAAGCCUGAUCCAGCCAUGCCGCGUGAGUGAUGAAGGCCUUAGGGUUGUAAAGCUCUUUCGCCGACGAAGAUAAUGACGGUGGUCGGAGAAGAAGCCCCGGCUAACUUCGUGCCAACAGCCGCGGUAAUACGAAGGGGGCUAGCGUUGUUCGGAAUCACUGGGCGUAAAGCGCACGUAGGC
rnacentral:rRNA from 2 species